rnacentral:lncRNA from 1 species
GGCGGCAGAGGGCGCCUGGCGCUGCGGUCCGGAGCGCCGAAGCCGCCCGCGCGGGCGCCGAGAGGAGAGGCGAGGCGAGGCGGGGAGCGCGAGCGGCGGCGGCCACUGCCACGUCUUCCCGGCAGUGGCGGCGGCGGCGGCGCGGGAGGAGGAAUAAUCCAGGUCGCCUUCACUGGAAAUCAGUUUGCUGAAACUAUUGAUACGCAGUUCUUAACGCUGAAGAAAAGGAGGUCCUGCGCCUUGACCACACGAGCGUGGCCCUUCCUCCAGACCCCCGCUCCGGACGCGCCCACCUAGCGUCUCCCAGGAACCAUGCGGCAGCUCAAGGGGAAGCCCAAGAAGGAGACGUCCAAGGACAAGAAGGAGCGGAAGCAGGCCAUGCAGGAGGCCCGGCAGCAGAUCACCACCGUGGUGCUGCCCACGCUGGCCGUGGUCGUGGUCCUGAUCGUGGUGUUUGUGUACGUGGCCACGCGCCCCACCAUCACCGAGUGAGGGCCCGCCCCGAGGGAGGAGGCUCGGGAGGGGAGAGCAGAAGAAGGGCCUUCAUCCGCUGCGAUUUUCCUGAUGCCGAGCUCUGAGCAGGAGCCCCCGUCUGCUCUGGUCUGUGACUUGAUUAAAGGUUCUCCACUUUUCUUGGGAGGGAAUAGGAAACGUUUUAUCAGUGAACGUGCCAUACACCUUAUGGUCCACUUCAUGUGCCUUUCAGACUUCAAAGCCGUGUGUGUGUGUGUGUGUGUGUGUGUGUGUGUUUCUCGCCUGCAAUCGAUGUGUAGCCCCACCUGGUGAGAGGAGGCGUCUCUGGGUCACGGAUCAGUUGGAAUCAGUGCUCACCCCAUCCCCGUUGUUUUGAACAUGACUUUCCUACACGUGUUCACAAUUUCCAAAGGGACUGUGUUUCUUCUCUGUGCUUCAUGUGAUUUGAAAUAUGUCGACUCAAAAGUGAAAUAUUUAUUUUUUGAAUAAAGGAGAUGAUAGCC